rnacentral:rRNA from 1 species
AGAGUUUGAUCCUGGCUCAGGACGAACGCUAGCGGCGUGCCUAACACAUGCAAGUCAAGGGCUCUUCGGAGCACUGGCGGACGGGUGAGUAACGCGUAGGUAAUCUGCCUCUUUCACUGACAAAACGUCGAGAAAUUGACGAUAAUAUCAGAUAUGCACUUCGGUGUGAAAGACUUCGGUUGGGAAGAGAUGAGCCUGCGUCUGAUUAGUUAGUUGGCGGGGUAACGGCCCACCAAGACGACGAUCAGUAGCUGGUCUGAGAGGAUGGUCAGCCACACUGGAACUGAGACACGGUCCAGACUCCUACGGGAGGCAGCAGUGAGGAAUAUUGGUCAAUGGGGGAAACCCUGAACCAGCGACGCCGCGUGUGGGAUGACAGGGCUUUGCCCCGUAAACCACUGUCAGGAGGGAAGAAAAGUGCCCUAUGGGUGCCGGGACAGUACCUCCAGAGGAAGGAUCGGCUAACUACGUGCCAGCAGCCGCGGUAAUACGUAGGAUCCAAGCGUUGUCCGGAAUUACUGGGUGUAAAGGGUGUGCAGGCGGGUCUGUACGUCAAGGGUUAAAUAUUUCGGCUUAACCGAAAAACAGCCCUUGAUACGGCAGGUCUUGAGUGCGAGAGAGGAUAGCAGAAUUCCUGGUGUAGCGGUGAAAUGCGUAGAUAUCAGGAGGAAUACCAGUGGCGAAGGCGGCUAUCUGGCUCGUAACUGACGCUCAGGCACGAAAGCGUGGGGAGCAAACAGGAUUAGAUACCCUGGUAGUCCACGCCCUAAAACGAUGUAUGCUUGGUGUUGGGGGCUUGUCCCUCAGUGCCGGAGGAAACCCGUUAAGCAUACCACCUGGGGAGUACGAUCGCAAGUUUGAAACUCAAAGGAAUUGACGGGGGCCCGCACAAGCGGUGGAUCAUGUGGUUUAAUUCGAUGCAACGCGAAGAACCUUACCCGGGCUUGAAGUGUAGGAAGUAGAACCAUGAAAAUGGAACCACCUGUUAAAUCAGGAACCUACAGAGGUGCUGCAUGGCUGUCGUCAGCUCGUGCCGUGAGGUGUUGGGUUAAGUCUCGCAACGAGCGCAACCCCUAUCCUUAGUUGCCAUCAGGUAAUGCUGGGAACUCUAAGGAGACUGCCUACGCAAGUAGAGAGGAAGGUGGGGACGACGUCAAGUCAUCAUGGCCCUUAUGUCCGGGGCUACACACGUGAUACAAUGGUUGGUACAGAGGGCGAAGCCGCGAGGUGGAGAAAAUCCUUAAAACCAAUCUCAGUUCGGAUUGUGGUCUGCAACUCGACUACAUGAAGCUGGAAUCGCUAGUAAUCGUAGAUCAGAACGCUACGGUGAAUACGUUCCCGGGCCUUGUACACACCGCCCGUCAAGCCAUGGAAGUUGAAGACCCCCGAAGCCGUUAGAAAUAGCGUCGAAGGGGAAUUCAGUAACUGGGGCUAAGUCGUAACAAGGUA